CCUACGGGUGGCAGCAGUGAGGAAUAUUGGUCAAUGGACGAGAGUCUGAACCAGCCAAGUAGCGUGAAGGAUGACUGCCCUAUGGGUUGUAAACUUCUUUUAUAUGGGAAUAAAAUGUUCCACGUGUGGGAUUUUGUAUGUCCCAUAUGAAUAAGGAUCGGCUAACUCCGUGCCAGCAGCCGCGGUAAUACGGAGAAUCCGAGCGUUAUCCGGAUUUAUUGGGUUUAAAGGGAGCGUAGGUGGAUUGUUAAGUCAGUUGUGAAAGUUGGCGGCUGAACCGUAAAAUUGCAGUUGAAACUGGCAGUCUUGAGUACAGUAGAGGUGGGCGGAAUUCGUGGUGUAGCGGUGAAAUGCUUAGAUAUCACGAAGAACUCCGAUUGCGAAGGCAGUUCACUGGACUGCAACUGACACUGAGGCUCGAAAGUGUGGGUAUCAAACAGGAUUAGAUACCCUUGUAGUC
rnacentral:rRNA from 1 species